rnacentral:rRNA from 1 species
UACGAAGGGUGCAAACGUUGCUCGGAAUUAUUGGGCGUAAAACGCACGUAGGCGGCUUUGCAAGUCGGAUGUGAAAUCCCUCGGCUCAACCAAGGAAGUGCAUCCGAAACUGCAGAGCUUGAGUACCAAAGAGGAUCGCGGAAUUCCCCAAGUAGAGGUGAAAUUCGUAGAUAUGGGGAGGAACACCAGUGGCGAAGGCGGCUCACUGGCCCGGUACUGACGCUGAUGUGCGAAAGCGUGGGGAGCAAACAGG